GGCCGCGGGAAUUCGAUUUGGCUCAGCUUGUACACACCGCCCGUAGAGUUUGAUCAUGGCUCAGCUUGUACACACCGCCCGUAGAGUUUGAUCAUGGCUCAGCUUGUACACAACGCCCGUAGAGUUUGAUCAUGGCUCAGCUUGUACACACCGCCCGUAGAGUUUGAUCCUGGCUCAGCUUGUACGCACCGCCCGUAGAGUUUGAUCAUGGCUCAGCUUGUACACACCGCCCGUAGAGUUUGAUCCUGGCUCAGCUUGUACACACCGCCCGUAGAGUUUGAUCAUGGCUCAGCUUGUACACACCGCCCGUAGAGUUUGAUCCUGGCUCAGCUUGUACACACCGCCCGUAAGUUUGAUCAUGGCUCAGGAUGAACGCUAGCGGGAGGCCUAACACAUGCAAGCCGAGCGGUAUGGAUAGCUUGCUAUCCAGAGAGCGGCGUACGGGUGCGUAACACGUGUGCAACCUGCCUUUAUCUGGGGGAUAGCCUUUCGAAAGGAAGAUUAAUACCCCAUAAUAUGGUGUCCGGCAUCGGUCGCCAUUGAAAGCCUCGGCGGAUAGAGAUGGGCACGCGCAAGAUUAGAUAGUUGGCGGGGUAACGGCCCACCAAGUCGAUGAUCUUUAGGGGUCCUGAGAGGGAGAUCCCCCACACUGGUACUGAGACACGGACCAGACUCCUACGGGAGGCAGCAGUGAGGAAUAUUGGACAAUGGGUGGAAGCCUGAUCCAGCCAUCCCGCGUGAAGGAUGACGGUCCUAUGGAUUGUAAACUUCUUUUGUACAGGGAUAAACCUGCCCUCGUGAGGGCAGCUGAAGGUACUGUACGAAUAACACCGGCUAACUCCGUGCCAGCAGCCGCGGUAUACGAGGUGCGAGCGUUUCCGAUUAUUUUAAAGGGCCGUAGCGCUGUAGUCAAAAUCUCAUAGCUUAACUAUGAAACUGCCAUUGAUCGCAGCUG
rnacentral:rRNA from 1 species